rnacentral:rRNA from 1 species
GACGAACGCUGGCGGCGUGCUUAACACAUGCCAGUCGAACGGAAAGGCCCUGCUUUUGUGGGGUGCUCGAGUGGCGAACGGGUGAGUAACACGUGAGUAACCUGCCCUUGACUUUGGGAUAACUUCAGGAAACUGGGGCUAAUACCGGAUAGGAGCUCCUGCUGCAUGGUGGGGGUUGGAAAGUUUCGGCGGUUGGGGAUGGACUCGCGGCUUAUCAGCUUGUUGGUGGGGUAGUGGCUUACCAAGGCUUUGACGGGUAGCCGGCCUGAGAGGGUGACCGGCCACAUUGGGACUGAGAUACGGCCCAGACUCCUACGGGAGGCAGCAGUGGGGAAUAUUGCACAAUGGGCGGAAGCCUGAUGCAGCAACGCCGCGUGCGGGAUGACGCCCUUCGGGUUGUAAACCGCUUUCGCCUGUGACGAAGCGUGAGUGACGGUAAUGGGUAAAGAAGCACCGGCUAACUACGUG